UUCUCUUUCUCUCUAAACUGUCAUUUAAAGCACAACAGAGGAUGAAUCCGGAAUCAAAUUUGAGACAAGUUCAACGAUUCGGAGAAAAAAUUGUUGAUAUGUUGCGUCGAGGUAUGCAAAGUAGCAGCAAUAGCAGAAAUGUGCGUAUGAUGCAGACGACCGAGAAAAUCGUUGUUGUUUUAUGUAAACAAAAAUGCUACGAACGGCGAACAUCAUUUCAGAGAGCAGAUACUACUGGAAAUAUCUACGAGGAAAAAAGGGCAGCGAAGCCAAUUUGAUUGAGUUACAAGUUUCUCCUGCCGAUGAUGGAUCAAUACACUCGUCUCGUAAUUACCAACAACAAGUUUGUUACGAACAUAACCAAGUUGAAGUCCCGCGAGAACAAACUCAACCACCGAUGCCACCGGAAUAAGGUGUUGCAGCUUCCGCUGUAGUGCACAAAUGCGACAAAGGUUGCGGCGAAGAAAAAUGCAGCUGUCGGGAUUUCACAGAUGAUACAAUUGCUGCGGAUUAUAGAGCGUGCGGAACGCAACACCAGUUGCAAUAACGCACGAAUUCCUGGACUUCACCGAAAAGGGAAACCUGAUGGAAACCGAUAGCAUUGGAACGGUUGUGCUGGACCCGACGUUUUCACUUUCAAUUUCAGUAAUGUGUUACUUAAUUUUAAUAUGUUGUUGUAAAUGUUUAGCUCCAGAUAGUUCAUAAGAAAUGUUACUUAUUCCGUCUAGCGGAUUCAUAAUGCUAUGUUAGAGUUGAAAAUAA